rnacentral:rRNA from 1 species
AGUACGGGAGGCAGCAGUGGGGAAUAUUGGACAAUGGGCGAAGGCCUGAUCCAGCCAUGCCGCGUGUGUGAAGAAGGUCUUCGGAUUGUAAAGCACUUUAAGUUGGGAGGAAGGGCAUUAACCUAAUACGUUAGUGUUUUGACGUUACCGACAGAAUAAGCACCGGCUAACUCUGUGCCAGCAGCCGCGGUAAU